rnacentral:rRNA from 1 species
AUUGAACGCUGGCGGCAGGCCUAACACAUGCAAGUCGAGCGGAGCGGCGGACGGGUGAGUAAUGCCUAGGAAUCUGCAUGGUAGUGGGGGAUAACGUCCGGAAACGGGCGCUAAUACCGCAUACUAUCAGAUGAGCCUAGGUCGGAUUAGCUAGGAGGUGGGGUAAAGGCUCACCUAGGCGACGAUCUCUAGCUGGUCUGAGAGGAUGAUCAGCGGCUCUGGAGCUGUGACACGGCCAAGACUCCUACCGGAGGCGGCAGUGGAGAAUAUUUCACAAGUGGCAGAAGGCUGAAGAAGCCAUGCCGCGUGUAUGAAGAAGGCCUUAGGCUUGUAAACUACUUUCAGCGGGAAGGCGUUGCCCGAAGAAGAAUCACCCGCUAACUACGUGCCAGCAGCCGCGGUAAUAC